GCAAGUCGAACGGUAACAGGUCCUUCGGUACGCUGACGAGUGGCGGACGGGUGCGUUACGCGUAUGCGAACUACCUUUCAGUGGGGGAUAGCCUGGAGAAAUUCAGAUUAACACCGCAUGAUAUUAUUGAGUCUCAUGGCCUGAUUAUUAAAAUUUUUUGCUGAAAGAUGAGCAUGCGUGACAUUAGCUAGUUGGUAAGGUAACUGCUUACCAAGGCUACGAUGUCUAGCUGGUCUGAGAGGAUGAUC
rnacentral:rRNA from 1 species